AACAGAGGACCCAGAAGGCUGAGUCUGAUGAAGCAAGAUUUUGAUAAUACACUCCUAGGAGCAAAGGGUUGGAGAGACAAGCCCUUAUUUGGGGGGUAGGGAGGGACCAUAGGGCUGGCUGCAUUAUCCAACAUUU